AAAGUCGUAACAAGGUUUCCGUAGGUGAACCUGCGGAAGGAUCAUUACCAAAUCGUCGGCCUCAACGGCCGGUCCUAGGCGCGGGGGCCCUCCCCCCGCGCCCAAGGUUAAACCCCUUGUGAAAACCCCCCGUUGCUUCGGCGGCACCUCUGCUCCCCAGCGGAGGGUCAGCCCGCCGACGGCACCAAUUUUGAAACCCUUUUUCUUGAAAAGAAGAAUGUCUGAACCAAUGGUCGAAUGACUAUAAAACUUUCAACAACGGAUCUCUUGGUUCCC
rnacentral:misc_RNA from 1 species